rnacentral:rRNA from 1 species
UACGUAGGUGGCGAGCGUUGUCCGGAUUUACUGGGCGUAAAGGGAGCGUAGGCGGACUUUUAAGUGAGAUGUGAAAUACCCGAGCUCAACUUGGGUGCUGCAUUUCAAACUGGAAGUCUAGAGUGCAGGAGAGGAGAAUGGAAUUCCUAGUGUAGCGGUGAAAUGCGUAGAGAUUAGGAAGAACACCAGUGGCGAAGGCGAUUCUCUGGACUGUAACUGACGCUGAGGCUCGAAAGCGUGGGGAGCAAACAGGAUUAGAUA